UGGGGAAUAUUGCACAAUGGGCGCAAGCCUGAUGCAGCCAUGCCGCGUGUGUGAAGAAGGCCUUCGGGUUGUAAAGCACUUUCAGCGAGGGAGGAAGGUGGUGAGCUUAAUACGCUCAUCAAUUGACGUUACUCGCAGAAGAAGCACCGGCUAACUCCGUGCCAGCAGCCGCGGUAAUACGGAGGGUGCAAGCGUUAAUCGGAAUUACUGGGCGUAAAGCGCACGCAGGCGGUUUGUUAAGUCAGAUGUGAAAUCCCCGGGCUCAACCUGGGAACUGCAUUUGAAACUGGCAAGCUAGAGUCUCGUAGAGGGGGGUAGAAUUCCAGGUGUAGCGGUGAAAUGCGUAGAGAUCUGGAGGAAUACCGGUGGCGAAGGCGGCCCCCUGGACGAAGACUGACGCUCAGGUGCGAAAGCGUGGGGAGCAAAACAGGAUUAGAUACCCUGGUAGUCCACGUUGUAAACGAUGUCGAUUUUGGAGGUUGUGCCCUUGAGGCGUGGCUUCCGGAGCUAACGCGUUAAAUCGACCGCCUGGGGAGUACGGCCGCAAGGUUAAAACUUAAAGGAAUUGACGGGGUCAUAGCUGUUUCCU
rnacentral:rRNA from 1 species